rnacentral:lncRNA from 1 species
AUAAAUAGAGUCCAUAAAUUCUUAAAUCCAAAUUGACAAGACCAUAUCAUUCUAACUGGUCAGGCCGGAAACCCUCCCUAAAACAAGAAUUUGUUAGUAACCCAUCCCGGAAGCACAAAUUUGUUAGUUGGAUGGGUAGUGCUUAACAGCGGCAAUUUAUAGCUUGAUCCUUAAUCUGAUUUGCAAGCUAUUUACUUUAAGUAGGUUUAGAUUUAAUAUAAAUAGGUUUGAAUCGUAAAUAGGUCAAAUCUAAAUCUAUUUAUUAAAUCGAUUGGAUUCCAGUUUAAAUGUUUGAUUUAUUUUGACUUGCAUAAUAAUUGAAUCAAAUUUAUUUAAAUUCAUUUAAUUCAUUAAAAACUGCCUAAUCCGCCUAUAAUAUGUUUAAACUUUUUAAUAAAUGAGUUAUACGGUCGGAUCAAAUUACUUAUUUAAUAAAAAAAUAAAUUUAAAUUUAAAAAAUUGAUUUAUUUAAUAAAUAGAUUAAAUUUGAAUUGAUAAAUUUUUCACCCGAUCGACGAUUGCUAUCCUUGUCUACGAACCACGUGUUUUGUUUUCGGGACCUCCGUUACAUAGCCCAAGCGUUUCGGUGUCGGCGACCGCCUAUUGGAUCGGCCUUUCGCGCUUGAACCGUCGUAUCCAAUCGGGGCCCGUAACGGAAAUCCGUCUCUCGCUUCUUCUUGCCCGGAGACGAGAGCUCAGUCCUCCGCCUCUCCCUGGUCAUUACUUCUUUAUUUUAACGAAACACCGGAGAGAGAACGAGGGAUUAGGCCCUCGGCUUCUCUUCUUUCGUUAGCAGAAAACGAUGGCUUCCACGGCA